UACGUAGGGUGCGAGCGUUACUCGGAAUUACUGGGCGUAAAGGGUGCGCAGGCGGCAGAGCAAGUCGAGUGUGAAAGCCCCGGGCUUAACUUGGGAAUUGCGCUCGAAACUACUUUGCUGGAGUGUGGCAGAGGAAGGUGGAAUUCCACGUGUAGCGGUGAAAUGCGUAGAGAUGUGGAGGAACACCAAUGGCGAAGGCAGCCUUCUGGGCCAACACUGACGCUCAUGCACGAAAGCGUGGGGAGCAAACAGG
rnacentral:rRNA from 1 species